GUUGAUUCUCGGCAAUUUGGCUAAGAUCAAAGUUUAGUUUCUGUUCUUAUCGAAUUAACCUUCGAUAGAGGCUCGAAAGAAUCUCGUUAAGGUUAUUUGUUAGCUUGCCGGCAACCCAUCACGGGUCGCCCCAGCAUUGCACUGCUGCUGGUAUCGGCCCACCCCCA
rnacentral:snRNA from 1 species